rnacentral:rRNA from 1 species
GGUGAGUAACACGUGAGUAACCUGCCCUUGACUUUGGGAUAACUCCAGGAAACUGGGGCUAAUACCGGAUAGGAGCUCCUGCCGCAUGGUGGGGGUUGGAAAGUUUCGGCGGUUGGGGAUGGACUCGCGGCUUAUCAGCUUGUUGGUGGGGUAGUGGCUUACCAAGGCUUUGACGGGUAGCCGGCCUGAGAGGGUGACCGGCCACAUUGGGACUGAGAUACGGCCCAG